UGUUAAUCGCCCGCUUCGAUCGGCGUGCGCCAAAUUCUGGAGGUCCUCUGGAAGGUCAUUGUGACGAAGUCAUAACCAACGAAGGACAGAAAGUGCGCCCGUUGCAUCGGCGUAAGUGCGUGAGUGCGUCACGUUCGCGUCGCCGCCGCGCCGUGAACUUGGAGCGGAAUCGAAGAUCGGAGUAAUCUCAGCCAGCGGAGCGUUUCGCAUUCUCUCGGUGACGAAGUCGCGCAAUUCGACCGGCGAAUGGACAAUUCGAUUCGGCUGAUGGGGAAAACGGACGACGAUUCGCGGCUUGCCGUCACGGUAAAUCGGCGCGAUAAGUCUACGAUGGAUGGACGUCGAGGUGUCAUUAGGAAGAUUUUAAUCGUGUGCUAAUGUCGCGUUAAGGACGAGAAUAAGGGAGCCAAGAUGGAUUGUCGCGGAGUUCACUGAGCCUUCCGAGGAACACGAACGCGGCAAAUCGCUUAACUCCGGAUAUGCCGUUGCUCCCCGAAGAUGUAAAAUCUUCCCGUAAGUUUGUACGUAUAUAUAUGGA